CACGUAGGGGGCAAGCGUUGUCCGGAUUUAUUGGGCGUAAAGAGCUCGUAGGUGGUUCGGUAAGUCGGGUGUGAAACCUCCAGGCUCAACCUGGAGACGCCACCUGAUACUGCUGUGACUGGAGUCCGGUAGGGGAGCGUGGAAUUCCUGGUGUAGCGGUGAAAUGCGCAGAUAUCAGGAAGAACACCCGUGGCGAAGGCGGCUCUCUGGGACGGUACUGACGCUGAGACGCGAAAGCGUGGGGAGCGAACAGG
rnacentral:rRNA from 1 species